AGAGUUUGAUCAUGGCUCAGGACGAACGCUGGCGGCGUGCCUAAUACAUGCAAGUCGAGCGAGCGGAACCAACAGAUUUACUUCGGUAAUGACGUUGGGAAAGCGAGCGGCGGAUGGGUGAGUAACACGUGGGGAACCUGCCCCUAAGUCUGGGAUACCAUUUGGAAACAGGUGCUAAUACCGGAUAAUAAAGCAGAUCGCAUGAUCAGCUUUUGAAAGGCGGCGUAAGCUGUCGCUAAGGGAUGGCCCCGCGGUGCAUUAGCUAGUUGGUAAGGUAACGGCUUACCAAGGCGACGAUGCAUAGCCGAGUUGAGAGACUGAUCGGCCACAUUGGGACUGAGACACGGCCCAAACUCCUACGGGAGGCAGCAGUAGGGAAUCUUCCACAAUGGACGCAAGUCUGAUGGAGCAACGCCGCGUGAGUGAAGAAGGUUUUCGGAUCGUAAAGCUCUGUUGUUGGUGAAGAAGGAUAGAGGUAGUAACUGGCCUUUAUUUGACGGUAAUCAACCAGAAAGUCACGGCUAACUACGUGCCAGCAGCCGCGGUAAUACGUAGGUGGCAAGCGUUGUCCGGAUUUAUUGGGCGUAAAGCGAGCGCAGGCGGAAAAAUAAGUCUAAUGUGAAAGCCCUCGGCUUAACCGAGGAACUGCAUCGGAAACUGUUUUUCUUGAGUGCAGAAGAGGAGAGUGGAACUCCAUGUGUAGCGGUGGAAUGCGUAGAUAUAUGGAAGAACACCAGUGGCGAAAGCGGCUCUCUGGUCUGCAACUGACGCUGAGGCUCGAAAGCAUGGGUAGCGAACAGGAUUAGAUACCCUUGUAGUCCAUGCCGUAAACGAUGAGUGCUAAGUGUUGGAGGUUUCCGCCUCUCAGUGCUGCAGCUAACGCAUUAAGCACUCCGCCUGGGAGUACGACCGCAAGGUUGAAACUCAAAGGAAUUGACGG
rnacentral:rRNA from 1 species